GCUGGGCAUGGUGGCGGGUGCCUGUAAUCCUAGCUACUCAGGAGGCUGAGGCAGGAGAAUUGCUUGAACCUGGGAAGCUGAGGCUGCAGUGAGAAGAGAUCACACCACUGUGCUCCAGCCUGGGCGACAGAGCGAGGCUCUGCCUCAU
rnacentral:SRP_RNA from 1 species